GACGAACGCUGGCGGCGUGCUUAACACAUGCAAGUCGAACGAAGAGCGAUGGAAGCUUGCUUCUAUCAAUCUUAGUGGCGAACGGGUGAGUAACGCGUAAUCAACCUGCCCUUCAGAGGGGGACAACAGUUGGAAACGACUGCUAAUACCGCAUACGAUCCAAUCUCGGCAUCGGGACUGGAUGAAAGGUGGCCUCUAUUUAUAAGCUAUCGCUGAAGGAGGGGAUUGCGUCUGAUUAGCUAGUUGGAGGGGUAACGGCCCACCAAGGCGAUGAUCAGUAGCCGGUCUGAGAGGAUGAACGGCCACAUUGGGACUGAGACACGGCCCAGACUCCUACGGGAGGCAGCAGUGGGGAAUCUUCCGCAAUGGACGAAAGUCUGACGGAGCAACGCCGCGUGAGUGAUGACGGCCUUCGGGUUGUAAAGCUCUGUUAAUCGGGACGAAUGGUUCUUGUGCGAAUAGUGCGAGGAUUUGACGGUACCGGAAUAGAAAGCCACGGCUAACUACGUG
rnacentral:rRNA from 1 species